UCUCAUCUGUCCAGAUCCACAGAGGGAAAGUCUGUUCAUCAGCGGAGAAAAACUCUCUUUAUGAACUGUGAAGAAACCCUUAAAGCUCCGGAUGUUGAGCUGGUUCUGGUUCCGGUUCCGUGACGACACAGCUGCUCAUUAGAACUGGAUUUAAUUAGGCUCUCCAUCAGCAGACGGUCGUUCCUGGAGGCUGAGUUUGUUCCUGUCAUGAAGUUUUCACUCAGCAGGUAAAAACUGCGGAUCCAUUUCUGGAUGGAUGAAUGCAGUUUAACCCAGAAUCCUCUGGUUGUGCCUGGAAAGCCGCCAUGUUUGAUGAGAAGCAGAAACUUCAGACUCACGUUGGGAAACAGUUUCCCUACAAGCAUCAACUCAAACAUUCAGACGCUUUCAUUCCUCAGAGACUCAAACACUUUCAGUUCAGUUUCUCUAAAACAGUUUGUUGAACGUUAAUUCAGUUCAGAUUAGAGCCGGCGGCGGCGGCGGCGGCUCGGCGUGUAAACAUGAGAAUCAGACAAAUUCAACUUCUUCAGCUCGAUUCUCUGAUGUUUCACACAAAUUCAAAAUGUCUGAAUCCUUUUCUGAAAAACAACAACAUGGUUUUACUGCCUGAUUGUAACUUUUCCUGAACUGAAGCUGAACUUGGAUCAUGAACUGUUCCUGAGCAGCAGCUCAGGGCUUCCUCCACUGGUGGGAUUGGAAUCGAUCAAUCAAUCGAUCGAUCGAUCACCAAGUGGUUUAUGAUCAAUAUGAUGAAACCUGAGCUUCAGAGUCUCCUGCAGCGGCGCCGGAUGAAAACCGGCUCCAGUCGGACCAACAUCCAUCUGGUUUCUCUGUUUCUGUUGGACCGAAACACGGCAGACAUCCUCACACGUUUCAGAAAGCUGGAACAUCCGUCACCUGCUUUUAUCUUAACGCCAGCAGAUAUUUGGCGCCUCCAACACUGAAUGUGAUAAAAACACAAAGUUUUAAGCUGAAAUAAUAAUAAUAAAUUUCUCCCCGUCUCCCCCCCUCCUGCUGCUCUCGGUUCUGGCCCAAAUUUGGUGCCGUCGGCCUCUGAAAAGGCAUUUCCUCCUGACUGCCAGCAUCUUGAUUUUCCCACAGGAAAAUAAAAACAUAAACUCUGACAUGUUUUGAGAUGAAGGGAUCAGGACUCCCUGGGAUCCUCUGUGCUAAACCAACUCAGCCUGACGGGGAAACGCAGAAUGAAAACAUGAAACGACAAAGUGAAAACAUGAACAGUCAACAACUGACCGGACAGUUUGACCAGAGGCAUCGCCGAAACCUCAACACAUGAAAUAUGUUGAUGAUGUCUCCUUUAAGGAGCUCAGUGUUUCGGCUGUUUUGCAGUUUGCUGGAAGUUUGUUCCAGA